rnacentral:rRNA from 1 species
CCAUGCUGUAAACGUUGUCUACUAGCCGUUGGGGGACAUGAUUCCUUAGUGGCGCAGCUAACGCGAUAAGUAGACCGCCUGGGGAGUACGGUCGCAAGACUAAAACUCAAAUGAAUUGACGGGGGCCCGCACAAGCGGUGGAGCAUGUGGUUUAAUUCGAAGCAACGCGAAGAACCUUACCGGGGCUUGACAUAUAUCUGACCCUCUUAGAGAUAAGAGCUUUCUUCGGAACAGAUAUACAGGUGGUGCAUGGUUGU